UACGUAGGGGGCGAGCGUUGUCCGGAGUUACUGGGCGUAAAGGGCAUGCAGGCGGUCGGACGCGUUUCGGGUGACAGCGGGUGGCUUAACUACCCGAGUGGUCGAAAGACGGUUUGACUUGAGGACGCGAGAGGGACACGGAAUUCCGGGUGGAGUGGUGAAAUGCGUAGAGAUCCGGAGGAACACCGGUGGCGAAGGCGGGUCUCUGGGCCUGACCUGACGCUGAGGAGCGAAAGCGUGGGGAGCGAACAGG
rnacentral:rRNA from 1 species